CAUGAUGCUAGAACCGAGGUCGGAGGAUGAAGAAGAAGAAGAAGAAGAAAGAGAGUCCAAAGGAAGCGAAAGAAGCAAAAAAUGCAAGGAGACAAAAAUCUCGAAGAAAGCUUUCCGAGGAGGGAGAUAGGCACAACUACCUGGAACUUGAAACUGGGGGACCACUCGGCCAGAGUCUCGACAACAGGGCUGUGAAAAGUGGAGUUUUGGAUACAGGUGACCCUAUAUAUAUAGUGCCCCUCGACGGUUGGGAUGAGAGCACACCCAACGAGGGUCUCUCGAAUUCUGACACAUGGCAGCAUCUGGGCCUUCCCUCGGUUCGACGAUUCGAUGCACCUGCCCC
rnacentral:lncRNA from 1 species